rnacentral:rRNA from 1 species
UACAGAGACCUCGAGCGUUACCCGGAUUUAUUGGGCGUAAAGGGUCCGUAGGUGGCGAAAUAAGUUGGAUGUUAAAAUUUGUCGGCUUAACCUUCAAAGUGCAUCCAAAACUGUUUUGCUUGAGGGCGUUAGGGGUGAACGGAACCGACGGAGUAGGGGUGAAAUCCGUUGAUAUCGUCGGGAACACCAAAAGCGAAGGCAGUUCACUAGGACGACCCUGACACUGAGGGACGAAAGCGUGGGGA